rnacentral:rRNA from 1 species
AUUGAACGCUGGCGGCAGGCCUAACACAUGCAAGUCGAGCGGAUGAAGGGAGCUUGCUCCUGGAUUCAGCGGCGGACGGGUGAGUAAUGCCUAGGAAUCUGCCUGGUAGUGGGGGAUAACGUCCGGAAACGGGCGCUAAUACCGCAUACGUCCUGAGGGAGAAAGUGGGGGAUCUUCGGACCUCACGCUAUCAGAUGAGCCUAGGUCGGAUUAGCUAGUUGGUGGGGUAAAGGCCUACCAAGGCGACGAUCCGUAACUGGUCUGAGAGGAUGAUCAGUCACACUGGAACUGAGACACGGGCCAGAAUCCUACGGGAGGCAGCAGUGGGGAAUAUUGGACAAUGGGCGAAAGCCUGAUCCAGCCAUGCCGCGUGUGUGAAGAAGGUCUUCGGAUUGUAAAGCACUUUAAGUUGGGAGGAAGGGCAGUAAGUUAAUACCUUGCUGUUUUGACGUUACCAACAGAAUAAGCACCGGCUAACUUCGUG